rnacentral:rRNA from 1 species
AGUGAACGCUGGCGGUAGGCCUAACACAUGCAAGUCGAACGGCAGCACAGUAAGAGCUUGCUCUUACGGGUGGCGAGUGGCGGACGGGUGAGGAAUACAUCGGAAUCUACUUUUUCGUGGGGGAUAACGUAGGGAAACUUACGCUAAUACCGCAUACGACCUACGGGUGAAAGCAGGGGAUCUUCGGACCUUGCGCGAUUGAAUGAGCCGAUGUCGGAUUAGCUAGUUGGCGGGGUAAAGGCCCACCAAGGCGACGAUCCGUAGCUGGUCUGAGAGGAUGAUCAGCCACACUGGAACUGAGACACGGUCCAGACUCCUACGGGGGGCAGCAGUGGGGAAUAUUGGACAAUGGGCGCAAGCCUGAUCCAGCCAUACCGCGUGGGUGAAGAAGGCCUUCGGGUUGUAAAGCCCUUUUGUUGGGAAAGAAAAGCAGCAGGUUAAUACCCCGCUGUUCUGACGGUGCCCAAAGAAUAAGCACCGGCUAACUUCGUG